AAUAGAUACCCGGUAGUCCACGCCGUAAACGUUGGGCGCUAGAUGUGGGGACCUUUCCACGGUUUCCGUGUCGUAGCUAACGCAUUAAGCGCCCCGCCUGGGGAGUACGGCCGCAAGGCUAAAACUCAAAGGAAUUGACGGGGGCCCGCACAAGCGGCGGAGCAUGCGGAUUAAUUCGAUGCAACGCGAAGAACCUUACCAAGGCUUGACAUACGCGAGAACGGGCCAGAAAUGGUCAACUCUUUGGACACUCGUGAACAGGUGGUGCAUGGUUGUCGUCAGCUCGUGUCGUGAGAUGUUGGGUUAAGUCCCGCAACGAGCGCAACCCUCGUCGCAUGUUGCCAGCACGUUAUGGUGGGGACUCAUGUGAGACUGCCGGGGUCAACUCGGAGGAAGGUGGGGAUGACGUCAAAUCAUCAUGCCCCUUAUGUCUUGGGCUUCACGCAUGCUACAAUGGCCGGUACAAAGGGCUGCGAUGUCGUAAGGCGGAGCGAAUCCCAAAAAGCCGGUCUCAGUUCGGAUUGAGGUCUGCAACUCG
rnacentral:rRNA from 1 species